CAAUGUGGUGAGCAGGGCAGGGGGCGUGGCUGUAUAAUAACCACAAAGAAGAUGAGGCUGUGUUUCAGAAUGCCUGGGAAAAGAUAGAAUACCAAAUCUCGAAUGGGAAAAGGCUAAAUAUGUACCAGACACUGAGACUGUGCUUCUUCCUUUGGACAAGACAAAGUUUAGAUGGGACUGAAAACAAAGCCACAAGAGAAAAUGCUGUAGAUACCACAAGGAAGAAAAUGAAAAGAAAAAGGAAAAGAAAAAGAAAGAAGACCUUACUCCUCUGAGGCUAACACUCCCCCCCACCCCAGCCACAACUGGGGGUACAAAGACAAUAGGAGGGAUAAUAAGUACAGGAAGAAUAUUUUUACCAGUGCACAAAAGAAAAUGUGAAGAAAACCCUUCCCAAAAUAGAGCCCCAAACUCAAAGUUAAUAGGACAGUAUAUUUUCCCCUAGAGAUUGAAAAAUUAAAUUUAAUAGAAACA